rnacentral:rRNA from 1 species
AUACAUUAAGGGCGUAUGGUGGAUGCCUUGGGAGAAGAAGCCGACGAAGGACGUAGCGGGCUGCGAUAAGCUUCGGGGAGGUGCCGAGCAACCUUUGAUCCGAAGAUGUCCGAAUGGGGAAACCUUCCUGCUUGAAGAGCAGGAGACGUCAGGUUUGCUCCCCCACAGUAAUUCCACCGUCAGAUCCAGACACUAACGGAUCGUACGACGGUUUUUAAAGCGGAUUCACUGUGGAGGGGCAAACCUGAUGUCGGGCACCUGGGGAACUGAAACAUCUUAGUACCCAGAGGAAGAGAAAACAAAACACUCUGUUUUGAGUGAAAUUUUAUGAUGGAUUUCAGAAUCGGAUGUAGGUGUUCGUUUAUCACGGAUUCCGACCUCCGUUUUCUGUCAUCCGUCCUCUGAAAUUUGUGAUUCCGCUAGUAGCGGCGAGCGAACGCGGACCAGCCUUGCGACGGGAUGGCAAAAAUGAAUAGCUGAAUGCUCCUGGAACGGACAGCCAAAGAGGGUGAGAGACCCGUAAGCGAAAUUCUUUUUUGUUCUGAACGUUGCCGUUUUGUUCUUUAAUUUGAGCAAAAUGCAAGUACAUCGAGACACGUGAAAUCUCGAUGGAAGACCGGUGGAUCAUCAUCGAAGGCUAAAUACUUCUUCUCACCGAUAGUGAACUAGUACCGUGAGGGAAAGGUGAAAAGUACCCCUAGCCGGGGAGUGAAAUAGCACCUGAAACCGUAUGCCUACAAGGAGUCGGAGCUCGAGCUUGCUCGGGUGACGGCGUGCCUUUUGAAGAAUGAGCCAACGAGUUUGUCGUCGUGGCCGGCCUGCCUUUGGCGGGUCUAGGUUAAGGAACGAGAGUUCCGGAGCCACAGCGAAAGCGAGUCUUAACCGGCGAUUUAGUCGCGAUGACAAGACCCGAAACCGGGUGAGCUACCCAUGGUCAGGAUGAAUCUCGUCGAAAGACGAGAGAAGGUCCGAACCCACCAGCCUCGUAAAACUGGGGGAUGAACUGUGGGUAGAGGUGAAACGCCUAUCGAACCCGGAGAUAGCUGGUUCUCCUCGAAAUAUAUUUAGGUAUAGCCUCACGUAGGCGCCUGGGGGUAGAGCACUGAUUGGAUUUCGGCGUCGCAAGAUGUCGCAUCCAGCCAAACUCCGAAUACCAGGUUAGCUAUUGCGUGGGAGUCAGUCCGUGGGGGCUAAGCUCCACGUGUCAAAAGGGAAACAACCCAGACCAUCAGCUAAGGUCCCAAAAUUCUUUCUAAGUGGAAAAGGAUGUGAUGAACCAAAGACAACUAGGAGGUUGGCUUAGAAGCAGCCAUCCCUUCAAAGAGUGCGUAACAGCUCACUAGUCGAGGUUUGUCGCGCCGAAAAUUUAACGGGGCUCAAGAUAGAUACCGAAGCUAUGGGUCAGCGCUCUGCGCUGGCGGUAGAGGAGCGUUCGUAUUGCAGUGAAGCGGAAGCGUAAGCGACCGUGGAGCGAUAUGAAGUGCGAAUGUUGGCAUGAGUAACGAAAAGCAGGCGAGAACCCUGCUCACCGAAUGUCCAAGGUUUCCCGGGCUACGAUAAUCGACCCGGGGUUAGUCGGUCCUAAGCCUGACCAGCAGGCGAUGGAUUUCAGGUUGAUAUUCCUGAACUUCCUUUGUUGUACCCACGCGGGACGCUUCUUCAAGCUUCAUCACGCUGUAUGGUUAUGAGUGAUGAGGGGAGCGGGAGACGAGAAAAGCGCGUGACUAAUUGGCAAAGGAAACCGUACCGCAAUCCAACACAGGUGGACGAGGCGAGGAGCCUAAGGUGAACGAGAGAACCCUCUUAAAGGAACUCGGCAAAAAAGCGGCUGUAACUUCGGAAUAAAGCCUACCUGACGCAAGUCAGGUCGCAGCGAAUGUUUGCCAGGCGACUGUUUACCAAAAACACAGGUCUCUGCAAACCCUUCGGGGGACGUAUAGGGGCUGACGCCUGCCCAGUGCUAGAAGGUUACGGGGAGGAUUGAUUCCAAGUUUACUUGGAUGAGGUCUGAACUUAAGCCCUAGUGAACGGCAGCAGUAACUAUAACUGUUCUAUGGUAGCGAAAUUCCUUGUCAGGUAAAUUCUGACCCGCACGAACGGCGUAACGGUCUGGUAACUGUCUCUAAGAGGGACUCGGUGAAAUUGCACUACCGGUAAAGAUGCCGGUUACUUACAGCAAGACGGAAAGACCCCGUGGAGCUUUACUACAGCUUGAUAUUGGUUCACGUGCUACUUUGUGUAGCGUAAGUGGGAGCGUCACGCGCCAAUGAAACACCACUCUUGGUACCGCGUGAAUCUAACUCUGUUGGUAGGACCAACAGAAGACAGUGUCUGGUGGGUAGUUUAACUGGGGCGGUUGCCUCCUAAAAAGUAACGGAGGCGUUCAAAGGUACUCUAAUUCCGUAUGGAAAUCGGAAUGAUAGCGCAAUCGCAUAAGAGUGCUUGACUGCAAGGCUGACACGCCGAGCAGCUACGAAAGUAGGAGAUAGUGAACCGGUCCGCAUGUAUGACAGUCGGACCGAUCAACGGAUAAAAGUUACCCCGGGGAUAACAGGCUGAUAGCGCCCAAUAGUCCACAUAGACGGCGCUGUUUGGCACCUUAACAUUGGGGUGCUGCAGGAGUAAUUCUGUACCAAAAAUGUGGCUUAUAACGGUGAACCCCCACUCUUUACAGUGGUACAAUGAAGUAAAGAAGGGCGAUACCGUGGGAAGUCUGACCUCAAUCCAACACGCGAUUUUGGUAGGAAGUAUGCUAGGCGAUGGUACACUACGCAAACAAGGCGCAAGAAAGAACGCCUUAUUUGAAGUGAACCAUUCAGUCAAGUUUAAAACCUAUGUUGAUUGGAAGUGGAAACACUUUCAAGAGUAUGUUUUAACACCACCAAAAUCACGCCUCGGUAAAGGCGUUCGUGUUGCGUAUCGGUUUACGACUCGUAGCCUUCCGAUUUUUACCAGUUAUUACCGCUGGUUUUACCCAAAUCAGAAGAAACAGCUUCCAGAUAAUAUUAAGCUAGAUGCCAAAGGUUUGGCAGUUUGGUUUAUGGAUGAUGGAACACGAUGUCGGAAUGCAACCUAUUUCAAUACCCAGCAGUUUCGCAUCGCAGAGCAAUGUCUCUUGCGGCGGCAACUAAAGAAGAUUGGAAUUAGGUCGACAUUAAGUCGAGAUAAGCAGUAUUGGCGUUUAUACGUUGAUACUGAAAGCACGAAAAGACUAAUGCAAAUUAUUAGCCCUUACGUUUUAUCUUGCUUCCAAUACAAAUUGAGAUAUGACCCCGUAACGACUGAGUCGAAAGACGAGAUUUCGAACGCAAGUUCGAGAUAACACGCCACCUCCUAUUUUGUCAGCUAGACAUGGCUUAGGCCUCUGUCUAGUAAUAGGAAGAAGAUAUAGUCUGCACCAUAUGUAAAUAUGGAUUAAAGUACGAUGUCGGCUCAUCCUAUCCUGGGGCUGAAGCAGGUCCCAAGGGUUUAGUUGUUCACUAAUUAAAAGGGUACGCGAGCUGGGUUCAGAACGUAAAUUACAUUGCGCUCUACUCUUGAAAUGGAGUAGGAUACGGGUGCACAUCGCACACAACCGACCCAACCCGUCGGUUACCGUAUCAACAUCUGACUAAAAUCGGUGAAACCCAAUCACCAACGACCAAACGUUGGAAAGGGCAAUACCGAGGGAAGAUCAGGUCGUGACGAACGAAGAGAAAGCCUACAUAGCGGGAUUUUUAGAUGGUGAUGGUUGCAUUAUGGCGCAGUUGGUUCGUCGAAAAGAUUACAUUUUUGGCUACCAAGUGCGGACAAGCAUUGUCUUUUACCAGAAUCAGACUCACCAAGAGAUCCUUUCUUGGCUCAAAUCGAUGCUAGAUAUUGGCUACAUCCGUCAGCGGAAUGACGGUAUGGCUGAAUACACCAUCGUUGGAUUGCGUGACGUGCGACACAUUGUUGCACUGUUGCUUCCGUUCCUUCGUCUCAAACAGGAAUUAGCACAACUGAUCAUUCACUUGAUUGAUUCGUAUCCAGCCACCAUGACGCCAAACGAACUCGUUCGUCUUGGCAGACUGGUAGAUGCGACGGCAGCGUUCUCGUAUUCAAAACGACGAACGAAUACCGUUGCGACUGUGAUCGAUUUCCUGCACCAACACGAUCUUUUCCCCGUAGAGACUUCGACUACUCGCAAGAAUGGUAGUCGGGAUUCCUCGUAGGCGAGGGAUAAUACGUCAGCCCCUCCUUUGGAUUAUUUCUUCCAAAGAGGGUGAAGAUAUAGUCCGUGCCACCAGGAAUGGUGGAACAACACGCGUGAGACAGUUUGGUCCUCAUCUGCUGUGAGCGUUUUGAAACUUGAGGGGGUCUAUUCCCAGUACGAGAGGACCGGAAUGGACGGACCGCUGGUGUACGAGUUGUCUCACCCCGAGGCAGUGCUCGGUAGCUAUGUCCGGUUCGGAUAACCGCUGAAAGCAUCUAAGCGGGAAGCCGGCCCCAAGAUUAGGUUUCUUUAAGACCCGUCGGAGAUUACGACGUUGAUAGGCUCGAGGUGGAAGGCGCGUAAGCGUUGGAGCCGUAGAGUACUAAUGGUCGCAGUAUU